GCUCAGGAUGAACGCUAGCUACAGGCUUAACACAUGCAAGUCGAGGGGUAGCAGGGUAGCAAUACCGCUGACGACCGGCGCACGGGUGAGUAACACGUAUCCAACCUUCCCAUAACUCAGGGAUAGCCUUUCGAAAGAAAGAUUAAUACCUGAUAGUACUUAAGAAAGGCAUCUUUUUUAAGUUAAAGAUUUAUUGGUUAUGGAUGGGGAUGCGUUCCAUUAGAUAGUUGGUGAGGUAACGGCUCACCAAGUCUUCGAUGGAUAGGGGUUCUGAGAGGAAGGUCCCCCACAUUGGUACUGAGACACGGACCAAACUCCUACGGGAGGCAGCAGUGAGGAAUAUUGGUCAAUGGGCGAG
rnacentral:rRNA from 1 species